CACGUAGGGCGCAAGCGUUGUCCGGAAUUAUUGGGCGUAAAGAGCUCGUAGGUGGUCUGUUGCGUCCGCUGUGAAAACUCGGGGCUUAACCCCGAGCCUGCAGUGGAUACGGGCAGACUAGAGGUAGGUAGGGGGAGAAUGGAAUUCCUGGUGUAGCGGUGAAAUGCGCAGAUAUCAGGAGGAACACCGGUGGUGUAGACGGCUUUCUGGACCGUAACUGACGCUGAGACACGAAAGCGUGGGUAGCAAACAGG
rnacentral:rRNA from 1 species